rnacentral:rRNA from 1 species
UACAGAGGUCUCGAGCGUUGUUCGGAUUCAUUGGGCGUAAAGGGCGCGUAGGCGGCGGGGUAAGUCUGGUGUGAAAUCUCGGAGCUCAACUCCGAAAUUGCACUGGAUACUGCUCUGCUAGAGGGCUGGAGAGGAGAUCGGAAUUCACGGUGUAGCAGUGAAAUGCGUAGAUAUCGUGAGGAAGACCAGUGGCGAAGGCGGAGUCUCUGGACAGCUCCUGACGCUGAGGCGCGGAAGGCUAGGGGAGCAAACGGG